rnacentral:lncRNA from 1 species
UUUAAAUAAAACUCCCUCUUCUUACUUCUCUCUCUGUUGGUUCAUAUUGCUUAUCAUGGCGUUCUUUAGAAUUUUGAUCCAGAUCGAGUGUUGUGUAUGUCUACUAAAUUCAUUUGAUGAUUGUAAGUAUUUCCUUUUGUUUAUCAAUCGAAAACAUAUAGUAUAAUAUAGUUUCAUAUGGUUAAAAACAUCCGAAACUAUAUUUUAAUUCCUCUCUGCGAUUAGAUUUAUACAUUUUUAUCAUGCUUAUAUAUAAUUAAUACAAUCAUAGCAAAAAAUUGGAUAGAUCAUAGAUGUAAUUCAAUUGCUUUGUUCUGUAUUCAGAUCUAAGCCUCAAACUCCAUAUGUUUAUAACGAGACUAUAUACAUCCUCUAACAGCCAUUUGGAUUUCAAUCUCCAACAACAAUCUUUGGGCUACUUCGUUGAAAUCACAAGGUAACCAAUUUAAACAGAGCACGUCUAGUGUAUGGAAUUUGUCAAGAAUUGUCUCCAUAGAAAUUAUGUUUACCAAGUUUAUGAAUAAAGAUGAAGAAUAAAAAGGAGUAAUGAUGAGGUUUGUAACAAUGGAAAUGGAAAGGAGCAAAAGAUGGAAGAUAAAGCUGGCCUAAUUGUUACGAUGCUUCACUCAGAAGAGUUGGGAGCUUGUAAAGAUGAGAAGGAGGUUAAAGCGUCAAGAAUUGAAAACCUCGAUUGGGGCGAGUAAUGACUAAUUAAACGGACAUUGUUUGUUAUUUCAUGAUUAAACGGUGCACUUUUACCAUUCCUACAGGUGUACAAAAAGUUAAAUAUAUGGUGUCCCUUAUAAGCAUUUACUUAGAGUAUUUUGGAUUUAGAUUAUUUCAAAAAGGAUGGGUUGUAAUCUUCUCUUAAGAUCCUAUAUGUGAAAAACAAUCUCAAAAACACUAAGACCUCUAUUUAGAUUCUUAAGAUCUCAACUAGGAUAGCUU